rnacentral:rRNA from 1 species
AUUCUGUAGCAAGGUUAACCGUAUAGGGGAGCCGCAGGGAAACCGAGUCUUAACCGGGCGUUAAGUUGCAGGGUAUAGACCCGAAACCCGGUGAUCUAGCCAUGGGCAGGUUGAAGGUUGGGUAACACUAACUGGAGGACCGAACCGACUAAUGUUGAAAAAUUAGCGGAUGACCUGUGGCUGGGGGUGAAAGGCCAAUCAAACCGGGAGAUAGCUGGUUCUCCCCGAAAGCUAUUUAGGUAGCGCCUCGUGAAUUCAUCUCCGGGGGUAGAGCACUGUUUCGGCUAGGGGGCCAUCCCGGCUUACCAACCCGAUGCAAACUGCGAAUACCGGAGAAUGUUAUCACGGGAGACACACGGCGGGUGCUAACGUCCGUCGUGAAGAGGGAAACAACCCAGACCGCCAGCUAAGGUCCCAAAGUCAUGGUUAAGUGGGAAACGAUGUGGGAAGGCCCAGACAGCCAGGAUGUUGGCUUAGAAGCAGCCAUCAUUUAAAGAAAGCGUAAUAGCUCACUGGUCGAGUCGGCCUGCGCGGAAGAUGUAACGGGGCUAAACCAUGCACCGAAGCUGCGGCAGCGACACUCAGGUGUUGUUGGGUAGGGGAGCGUUCUGUAAGCCUGUGAAGGUGGCCUGUGAGGGUUGCUGGAGGUAUCAGAAGUGCGAAUGCUGACAUAAGUAACGAUAAAGCGGGUGAAAAGCCCGCUCGCCGGAAGACCAAGGGUUCCUGUCCAACGUUAAUCGGGGCAGGGUGAGUCGACCCCUAAGGCGAGGCCGAAAGGCGUAGUCGAUGGGAAACGGGUUAAUAUUCCCGUACUUGGUGUUACUGCGAAGGGGGGACGGAGAAGGCUAUGUUGGCCGGGCGACGGUUGUCCCGGUUUAAGCGUGUAGGUGUGUGUUCCAGGUAAAUCCGGUUCACUUUAACACUGAGGCGUGACGACGAGGCACUACGGUGCU